AGCAGUGUAGCUCAGUUGGUUAGAGCGACGGAUUCAUAACCCGUAGGUCACCAGUUCAAGUCUGGUCACUGCUACCA
rnacentral:tRNA from 1 species